rnacentral:rRNA from 1 species
GAUGAACGCUGGCGGCGUGCCUAAUACAUGCAAGUCGAGCGAACAGACGAGGAGCUUGCUCCUCUGACGUUAGCGGCGGACGGGUGAGUAACACGUGGAUAACCUACCUAUAAGACUGGGAUAACUUCGGGAAACCGGAGCUAAUACCGGAUAAUAUAUUGAACCGCAUGGUUCAAUAGUGAAAGACGGUUUUGCUGUCACUUAUAGAUGGAUCCGCGCCGCAUUAGCUAGUUGGUAAGGUAACGGCUUACCAAGGCAACGAUGCGUAGCCGACCUGAGAGGGUGAUCGGCCACACUGGAACUCAGACACGGUCCAGACUCCUACGGGAGGCAGCAGUAGGGAAUCUUCCGCAAAGGGCGAAAGCCUGACGGAGCAACGCCGCGUGAGUGAUGAAGGUCUUCGGAUCGUAAAACUCUGUUAUUAGGGAAGAACAAAUGUGUAAGUAACUAUGCACGUCUUGACGGUACCUAAUCAGAAAGCCACGGCUAACUACGUG